AUGGAAGUAUAUCCAUGCAUUUCACUAAACUGUGGUUUGAAAGAAUCCUGUCUGAAGAGCACAUUUUAUGUCUCUACAACACAAAUAUCCUUUGGUUUUAAUGGAAGCUUUACUGGCCUAAGGUUGGACAGUCUUCAUCUGGCACAAAAAGAGUGGCAGGAUUCCUUGCUUCUACUGAUCUCUGAUCAUAUUGUAAAAUUUUUCCUUUGCCUGUUGGAGAUCAGCUGUUCUCAGUGA
rnacentral:lncRNA from 1 species